GACGAACGCUGGCGGCGUGCCUAAUACAUGCAAGUCGAACGCUUCUUUCCUCCCGAGUGCUUGCACUCAAUUGGAAAGAGGAGUGGCGGACGGGUGAGUAACACGUGGGUAACCUACCCAUCAGAGGGGGAUGACACUUGGAAACAGGUGCUAAUACCGCAUAACAGUUUAUGCCGCAUGGCAUAAGAGUGAAAGGCGCUUUCGGGUGUCGCUAAUGGAUGGACCCGCGGUGCAUUAGCUAGUUGGUGAGGUAACGGCUCACCAAGGCCACGAUGCAUAGCCGACCUGAGAGGGUGAUGGGCCACACUGGGACUGAGACACGGCCCAGACUCCUACGGGAGGCAGCAGUAGGGAAUCUUCGGCAAUGGACGAAAGUCUGACCGAGCAACGCCGCGUGAGUGAAGAAGGUUUUCGGAUCGUAAAACUCUGUUGUUAGAGAAGAACAAGGACGUUAGUAACUGAACGUCCCCUGACGGUAUCUAACCAGAAAGCCACGGCUAACUACGUG
rnacentral:rRNA from 1 species